rnacentral:rRNA from 1 species
UGGGGAAUAUUGCACAAUGGGCGCAAGCCUGAUGCAGCCAUGCCGCGUGUGUGAAGAAGGCCUUCGGGUUGUAAAGUACUUUCAGCGGGGAGGAAGGUGUUGAGGCUAAUAACCUCAGCAAUUGACGUUACCCGCAGAAGAAGCACCGGCUAACUCCGUGCCAGCAGCCGCGGUAAUACGGAGGGUGCAAGCGUUAAUCGGAAUUACUGGGCGUAAAGCGCACGCAGGCGGUCUGUCAAGUCGGAUGUGAAAUCCCCGGGCUCAACCUGGGAACUGCAUUCGAAACUGGCAGGCUAGAGUCUUGUAGAGGGGGGUAGAAUUCCAGGUGUAGCGGUGAAAUGCGUAGAGAUCUGGAGGAAUACCGGUGGCGAAGGCGGCCCCCUGGACAAAGACUGACGCUCAGGUGCGAAAGCGUGGGGAGCAAACA